UCCUUGAUAGUUCAGUCGGUAGAGCAUGAGAUUUCUAAUCUCAGGGUCAUCGGUUUGAGCCCCACAUUGGGCAA